rnacentral:rRNA from 1 species
GACGAACGCUGGCGGCGUGCUUAACACAUGCAAGUCGAACGGAAAGGCCUUUUCGGAGGUACUCGAGUGGCGAACGGGCGAGUAACACGUGGGUGAUCUGCCCUGCACUCUGGGAUAAGCCUGGGAAACUGGGUCUAAUACCGGAUAGGACCGCACUUUAGUGUGUGUGGUGGAAAGUUUUUUCGGUGUAGGAUGAGCCCGCGGCCUAUCAGCUUGUUGGUGGGGUAAUGGCCUACCAAGGCGGCGACGGGUAGCCGGACUGAGAGGUUGGUCGGCCACAUUGGGACUGAGAUACGGCCCAGACUCCUACGGGAGGCAGCAGUGGGGAAUAUUGCACAAUGGGCGCAAGCCUGAUGCAGCGACGCCGCGUGGGGGAUGACGGCCUUCGGGUUGUAAACUCCUUUCGCCAGGGACGAAGCGUUUUGUGACGGUACCUGGAGAAGAAGCACCGGCUAACUACGUG